rnacentral:rRNA from 1 species
AGCGAACGCUGGCGGCGUGCCUAACACAUGCCAGUCGAACGUGAAAGGGAGCAAUCCCAAGUAAAGUGGCGUACGGGUGAGUAACACGUAGGUAAUCUACCCCAGAAUCUGGAAUAACCGGCCGAAAGGCUGGCUAAUACUGGAUAGAGCGACGGAAUCCGUAAUUGGGUUUUUCGGGAAAGGGAGCCUGUAAAAAGGCCUUCGUUCUGGGAUGAGCCUGCGUCCCAUCAGCUAGUUGGUGAGGUAAAAGCUUACCAAGGCAAUGACGGGUAGCUGGUCGGAGAGGACGAUCAGCCACACUGGAACGGAAACACGGUCCAGACUCCUACGGGAGGCAGCAGUGGGGAAUCUUGCGCAAUGGACGAAAGUCUGACGCAGCAACGCCGCGUGAGGGAAGAAGGCCUUCGGGUUGUAAAGCUCUGUCGAGUGGGACGAAAAUGCUUGGAGUUCACAGCUCCAGGAACUGACGGUACCACUAAAGGAAGCACCGGCUAACUCCGUG